UCCCGGUUGGCCCGGGCAGUCCCCUGAGACACAUGUAACUCAGGGCAAGGGUUGCGCUCGUUGCGGGACUUAACCCAACAUCUCACGACACGAGCUGACGACGGCCAUGCAGCACCUGUCACCUAUCCAACUAAAUGACUGCCUAGUUUCUUAGGCAUACGAUAGGGAUGUCAAGCCUCGGUAAGGUUCUUCGCGUAGCUUCGAAUUAAACCACAUGCUCCACUGCUUGUGCGGAGUCCCGUCUAUUCCUUUGAGUUUUAGCCUUGCGGCCGUACUCCCCAGGCGGAAUGCUUAACGCGUUAGCUUCUCAACGCAAAGGGUCGAUACUUCACACUAAUAGCAUUCAUCGUUUACGGCGUGGACUAC
rnacentral:misc_RNA from 1 species